GAGUUGAUUCCGGCUCAGGAUGAACGCUGGCGGCGUGCCUAACACAUGCAAGUCGAACGGGGUGUGCCGAUGGAAACUUUUCGGAGCGGAAAUUGGCGCUGCCUAGUGGCGGACGGGUGAGUAACGCGUGAGCAACCUGCCCUGCACUGGGGGACAACAGCCGGAAACGGCUGCUAAUACCGCAUAGGCGCACAGCCCUGCAUGGGGCGGUGUGGAAAGCAAUACGGUGCAGGAUGGGCUCGCGUCUGAUUAGCUUGUUGGCGGGGCAACGGCCCACCAAGGCGACGAUCAGUAGCCGGCCUGAGAGGGUGGACGGCCACAUUGGGACUGAGACACGGCCCAUACUCCUACGGGAGGCAGCAGUGGGGGAUAUUGCACAAUGGGGGGAACCCUGAUGCAGCGACGCCGCGUGGGCGAUGGAGUACUUCAGUAUGUAAAGCCCUAU
rnacentral:rRNA from 1 species